rnacentral:lncRNA from 1 species
AAGCUGUAUGUGUUGGGCUUUAACUGUUAAGAGGAAGAACAUGUAGGAGUAGAGUAUUCAGGGGAGCUUCCUAAAGGAGUGAAAUCUAUGUGAGUCUUUGAAGAAUGAGUCGGAUUUAGAGGCUGAAGAGAGAGAUCCCAGUGAAGAAAUGGGUGAACACACACAGCUGCAGGGUUGCCAGAGAAUUGGAUUAGGAAAACCCAGAGAUGGUUGCAGGUGGACGUAUCUAUGAAAUGGUGAUUUCAGUAUUUGACGACCUACGUCCCUCCCAUACAGCUUUCUACAAAGUUGGAAGAGUGACUGCCACUGAUGAAGACCACCCACCAAACUGUGUGACGUACAAAAUAACCACCGGAGACAUCCAGGUUAUACAAGUAUUCUAGAUUCACCCACCCUCUGGAAUGAUUGAACUCACCACACAGUCAGACUACGAGAAUGUGAAGCAAUAUAACUUCACUGUGGAAGCUGUGGACUGUGACACCUUUCAUCCUCCCACAGCAAUGACCACAGUCACUGCUGACAUCGAAGAUGAGAAUGAUGAAACACCUGUCUGCACAUCUGCUCUAUAUGAGGCAGUCAUUUUUGACAAUGUUGUUGCUGGGACAAACGUCAGUGGCUUCAAACUAAACUACCAUGACAGGGAUUCAUAA